rnacentral:rRNA from 1 species
AACGAACGCUGGCGGCAUGCCUAACACAUGCAAGUCGAACGAGACCUUCGGGUCUAGUGGCGCACGGGUGCGUAACGCGUGGGAACCUGCCUUUAGGUUCGGAAUAACUCAGAGAAAUUUGAGCUAAUACCGGAUAAUGUCUUCGGACCAAAGAUUUAUCGCCUUUAGAUGGGCCCGCGUUUGGAUUAGCUAGUUGGUGGGGUAAAGGCCUACCAAGGCGACGAUCCAUAGCUGGUCUGAGAGGAUGAUCAGCCACACUGGGACUGAGACACGGCCCAGACUCCUACGGGAGGCAGCAGUGGGGAAUAUUGGACAAUGG